GAUGAACGCUGGCGGCGUGCCUAAUACAUGCAAGUCGAGCGAACGGACGAGAAGCUUGCUUCUCUGAUGUUAGCGGCGGACGGGUGAGUAACACGUGGAUAACCUACCUAUAAGACUGGGAUAACUUCGGGAAACCGGAGCUAAUACCGGAUAAUAUUUUGAACCGCAUGGUUCAAAAGUGAAAGACGGUCUUGCUGUCACUUAUAGAUGGAUCAGCGCUGCAUUAGCUAGUUGGUAAGGUAACGGCUUACCAAGGCAACGAUGCAUAGCCGACCUGAGAGGGUGAUUGGCUACACUGUAACUGAGACACGGUCCAGACUCCUACGGGAGGCAGCAGUAGGGAAUCUUCCGCGAGGGGCGAAAGGCUGACGGAGCAACGCCGCGUGAGUGAUGAAGGUCUUCGGAUCGUAAAACUCUGUUAUUAGGGAAGAACAUAUGUGUAAGUAACUGUGCACAUCUUGACGGUACCUAAUCAGAAAGCCACGGCUAACUACGUG
rnacentral:rRNA from 1 species